UACGUAGGGGGCAAGCGUUGUUCGGAAUUAUUGGGCGUAAAGCGCACGUAGGCGGCUUUGCAAGUCCCAUGUGAAAUCCCACGGCUCAACCGUGGAAGUGCAUGGGAAACUGCAGAGCUUGAGUACUUAAGAGGAUCGCGGAAUUCCCGGUGUAGAGGUGAAAUUCGUAGAUAUCGGGAGGAACACCAGUGGCGAAGGCGGCGAUCUGGGAAGAUACUGACGCUGAGGUGCGAAAGCGUGGGGAGCAAACAGG
rnacentral:rRNA from 1 species